UACGUAGGGGGCUAGCGUUGUCCGGAAUCAUUGGGCGUAAAGCGCGUGUAGGCGGCUCGCCAAGUCCGAUGUGAAAGCUCGGGGCUUAACCCCGAGUCUGCAUUGGAAACUGGCUUGCUUGAGUCCGGAAGAGGAGACUGGAAUUCCUGGUGUAGCGGUGAAAUGCGCAGAUAUCAGGAAGAACACCGGUGGCGAAGGCGGGUCUCUGGGACGGUACUGACGCUGAGACGCGAAAGCGUGGGGAGCAAACAGG
rnacentral:rRNA from 1 species